AGAGUUUGAUCCUGGCUCAGGACGAACGCUGGCGGCGUGCCUAACACAUGCAAGUCGAACGGAGAAUUAGCAAUAAUUCUUAGUGGCGAACGGGUGAGUAACGCGUGGGCAAUCUGCCCUUCAGUUGGGGACAACAUUCCGAAAGGGGUGCUAAUACCGAAUUCGAUCUUAUAUCCGCAUGGGUAUAAGAUGAAAGAUGGCCUCUGUAUAUGCUAUCGCUGAAGGAUGAGCCUGCGUCUGAUUAGCUAGUUGGUGAGGUAAUGGCUCACCAAGGCGACGAUCAGUAGCCGGUCUGAGAGGAUGAACGGCCACACUGGGACUGAGACACGGCCCAGACUCCUACGGGAGGCAGCAGUGGGGAAUCUUCCGCAAUGGACGAAAGUCUGACGGAGCAACGCCGCGUGAGUGAAGAAGGCCUUCGGGUUGUAAAGCUCUGUUUUUAGGGAAGAACGUGCGAUGUGUGAAUAAUGCAUUGCAAUGACGGUACCUAAAGAGGAAGUCACGGCUAACUACGUGCCAGCAGCCGCGGUAAUACGUAGGUGGCGAGCGUUGUCCGGAAUCAUUGGGCGUAAAGCGCAUGUAGGCGGGAAGAUAAGUCUGUUGUGAAAAUGC
rnacentral:rRNA from 1 species